UACGUAGGGUCCGAGCGUUGUCCGGAAUUACUGGGCGUAAGAGCUCGUAGGUGGUUUGUCACGUUGUUCGUGAAAACCCACAGCUCAACUGUGGGCGUGCGAGCGAUACGGGCAGACUAGAGUACUGCAGGGGAGACUGGAAUUCUGGUGUAGCGGUGGAAUGCGCAGAUAUCAGGAGGAACACCGAUGGCGAAGGCAGGUCUCUGGGCCGCAAACUGACGCU
rnacentral:rRNA from 1 species